CCUACGGGUGACAGCAGUGAGGAAUAUUGGUCAAUGGGCGCGAGCCUGAACCAGCCAAGUAGCGUGAAGGAUGACUGCCCUACGGGUUGUAAACUUCUUUUAUAAAGGAAUAAAGUGUGGCACGUGUGCCUUUUUGUAUGUACUUUAUGAAAAAGGAUCGGCUAACUCCGUGCCAGCAGCCGCGGUAAUACGGAGGAUCCGAGCGUUAUCCGGAUUUAUUGGGUUUAAAGGGAGCGUAGAUGGGUUGUUAAGUCAGUUGUGAAAGGUGGCGGCGCAACCGUAAAAGUGCAAUUGAUACUGGCAGUCUUGAGUACAGGUGAGGUAUGCGGAAGUCGUGGUGUAGCGGUGAAAUGCUUAGAUAUCACGAAGAACUCCGAUUGCGAAGGCAGCUUACUAAACUGCCACUGACAUUGAUGCUCGAAAGUGUGGGUAUCAAACAGGAUUAGAUACCCGUGUAGUC
rnacentral:rRNA from 1 species